rnacentral:rRNA from 3 species
GGACUACCCGGGUAUCUAAUCCCGUUCGCUCCCCUAGCUUUCGCGCCUCAGCGUCAGAAAAGGUCCAGCACGUCGCUUUCGCCACCGGCGUUCCUUCCGAUAUCAACGCAUUUCACCGCUCCACCGGAAGUUCCACAUGCCCCUACCUCCCUCAAGACAACCAGUAUCAAAGGCAAUUUUCCGGUUGAGCCGAAAGAUUUCACCCCUGACUUGGUCGCCCGCCUACGCGCCCUUUAAGCCCAGUGAAUCCGAACAACGUUCGCACGGUUCGUCUUACCGCGGCUGCUGGCAC